AGGAAGGCGCUCCGCCGUGGGCGGGCAGCCAUUUUAGACCAGGGUGUGGGAAUCCUGUGUCAAGGACGGCAGAGCGCCCUGCGGACCCCCCGGGCUCCGUGAGCCGGGGCUGCUUUCAUAAGAGAGGAACAGAGCUGUCUCUGCUUAAAGGCAGGGUUACGUUGGCCUCUCUUACAGCAGGUGAACCUGCAUCCCAGUCAAGACAUUUUGAAUGCCUGACAAGAUGCUAAUAAGGAAGGAUCCUGCUACCACCUGCCCAGAACCGUGAAGAGACAAGCUCUUCCUCACAACAGUGUGCCCGAUGCGUGUUUGGUGCGUGGACAGAAGGCAAGGAGAAGACAGAAGGCAGGACAGUCAGCAGAGGAGGCCUCCUGGAAGCGUGAUCUGGAGCAGCGUGAAGGGGCUGGCACAUAGUAGGUCCCCCAUAAAUGUUCAUCGAAUGAGACGGACACAAUGAUGCAAGUGUACCUAAAGCCACUGAGCUGUGCACUUAGAAACGGCUUAGCAAGAGAGAGACACAGCGAGAGAGGGAACACAAGCAGGGGGAGCAGCAGAGGGAGAAGCAGGCUUCCCGCGGAGCAGGGAGCCCGAUGUGGGGCUCGAUCCCAGGACCCCGGGAUCACGACCUGAGCCGAAGGCAGACGCUUAACGACUGAGCCCCCCUGGCGCCCCGGAUUCCCACUUUAGGCGACGUACCUUGCUACUGUCUCCUCACUUGGCUUCCAGGCUCCACUGUGUCCUGGCCCCUGUUCUUCCCCUUUGCUGGGCCCUCUGUCCACCCCUUGAACACAAACAAUCCCCACCCCUCUGCCCUUCGCUCCCUUCUUACUUUACAGACACUUCCACGAACCUUCCAUCCACUGCUCUGAUUUUCCCACCACUCAUAAGCCAGCCAUUUCUAAAUGUAGAUUCUAGACUUGGCUUGUCCACGCGAAAUUCCCGUUUCCCCCCAUCUACCCAUCCCCCGUCCCCGGUGUUAGCCGGUCCACCACCAACCCGGUCUGUCAGGUGGGAGGUCCGUGACCCUCUCUGCUCCUGUGCUCAGCCCUGCCGCGGGCUCAGCCCCUGAGCCCUCUCCGCAGAGCCCCCCACCCAUCCCGGCCGUGUUGCAGCAGGGAGGAGGCACAGCUGUGGGAACUGAAGCCUGGAGCCGCACUCUCUGAGUUUGUGUCCUGGCCCCACUGGUUUUUAGCUGUGUGACAUUCCUGAGCCUCAGUUCCCUCGUCCGUAUUAUGAAGCUCAAACAAGAUGAGGCUAAAUAUGGCUCCAGCAUACAAUAAACACUCAGCGCCUGUCACUGCAGGAGUGGUGCCUAACACGGCCGGUUUGCGAGAAAUACAUCUCCUCAGGCGCUGUACCCAGCCCCUGUUGCCCUGGAUGGUGAACACGGUGUGAGUGAGCUGGGAUUGCCCCCUCCUUUCUCCCACAGUGGAGGCCAAGUUGGAGGGAGUAUGAGAUGCUAAGGCUUGAGAGGGAAGGCCCAUCGGGUCCUUAGCCCCCUAUUUACAGUCCACCUGGCCCUCUCAGCUCCGGGGGCCCUCAAUCCACGUAGAAGGGGGGUAGCUCACCCAGGUCCUUCCUUUCUGGCUGGGUUGGGGGUUUCUGUACAUAAGGGCCUCAUUACACAACUGUUCCCUGUCAGGGUCCUGGGCUGCCCAGGUCCUUCCCAGAAAGCAGGGAGUGGGACCUCGGUCACCAGGAGUCUA